rnacentral:lncRNA from 1 species
AUGGAGCUGUGGUGCAUUCCUGCCCUUGUGCAUCAGGCCUUGGCAGAGAUUUCUCUGGAGAUUAUGUUGCAGAAUCUUUUACAAGAAACGAACCUUCAAGAACAUGCUACUGGAGCCAAAUCUGGAACCUUUUGGGAUGAGAAACUUGAAAAUUCUAUUACCUGGGUCUGGUGGAAGAAGUGGAUGUGAGGAUUAAAUGAAGUUCUGCUUUCUCUGGUGGUGCAGCAACUCGUGGAUUUUUGUCUCCAGAACUUCUGUUCACAGUACACAUGUACUAUGCUGGAAGCACUGCCUGAAUCCAGUGAAAUCAGGAAAUGUACAUAGGUAUUUCACAGACCUUUUAAGAGCUGCCUACUGUUAAUUUGCUAUUAAAGACAGCAGUAUAACUGCUUCUUAGCUCAUGAUGAUUUUCAGACCUAUUUGACUUAAAUUGGUGUUUAUUUAAAGAGGACAAAAUCUACUGGUAAUUUGUCUGCUGAGUGUAAUUGGUAAUUUUCUGCUGUAUCCCAGUCAUGGAGUUAAAAUAGCUAUAGUUAUUUUUUUUAUCACCUACCCUCAGGAUCUGAAUUAGUUUGCUAUUUUUCUGGUUAAAAUAACAGAAAAUGUUCAUAAAUAUGUAAUCAGAAUAAAAAUCAGUGUAUUUUAAGCCA